UGGGGAUUAUUGCACAAUGGGGGAAACCCUGAUGCACCGACGCCGCGUGAACGAAGAAGGUAUUCGUAUCGUAAAGUUUUGUCCUAUGGGAAGAUAAUGACAGUACCAUAGAAGAAAGCCCCGGCUAAAUACGUGCCAGCAGCCGCGGUAAUACGUAUGGAGCGAGCGUUGUCCGGUAUUAUUGGGCGUAAAGGGUACGCAGGCGGUUUAAUAAGUAGAAUGUUAAAGAUCGGGGCUCAACCCCGCAAAGCAUUGGAAACUGAUAAACUUGAGUAGUGGAGAGGAAAGUGGAAUUCCUAGUGUAGUGGUGAAAUACGUAGGUAUUAGGAGGAAUAACAGUAGCGAAGGCGACUGUCUGGACACGAACUGACGCUGAGGUACGAAAGCGUGGGGAGCAAACAGG
rnacentral:rRNA from 1 species